rnacentral:rRNA from 1 species
CAGCAGCCACGGGAAUACGGAGGGUGCAAGCGUUAAUCGGAAUUACUGGGCGUAAAGCGCACGCAGGCGGUCUGACAAGUCAGAUGUGAAAUCCCCGGGCUUAACCUGGGAACUGCAUUUGAAACUGUCAGGCUGGAGUCUUGUAGAGGGGGGUGGAAUUCCAGGUGUAGCGGUGAAAUGCGUAGAGAUCUGGAGGAAUACCGGUGGCGAAGGCGGCCCCCUGGACAAAGACUGACGCUCAGGUGCGAAAGCGUGGGGAGCAAACAGGAUUAGAUUCCCGUGUAGUCCCUGUCUCUUAUAC